AUUGGAGGAGAAAGAAGCAGCAAACAUGCUGUGAAGUUGGCAGAUUCUAAAAUCCACAUGGAAAAACAAAGGAUCCAGAAGAACAAACAAAAAACACUGAUAAAGAAGAACAAAACUGGAAGUCUUAUACAUCCUGCUUUUCAACUUCACUGCAAAGCUACAGUAAUGAAGGCAGCCUGCUACUGGCAUAAGAAGAGACACAUAGAUCAAUGAAGUAAAAUUGACAGCUCAGAAAUGAACCCUUACAUGUAUAGUUAAUUGAUUUUCAACAAGAAUGCUUAGACUAUUAAAUGAAGUAAAAUGGUCUUUUCUUCAACAAAUAAUGCCAGGACAACUGAAUAUUCAUGCUAAAGAAUCAAGUUGGAUCCUUAUCUCUCACUGUUACCAAAAUCAACUCAAAAUGAAUAAUAAACCCAUGUGUAGGAACUGAUACUCUUGGAAUAAAACUUUGAAGUAAUGUUUGUGAUUUUGAGUUAGUUUUCUUAGAUAUGACACUAAAAUCAGGAUAUAAAUUGUACUUCAUCAAAACUUAAAACUUUUAUGCUUCAAAGAACACCAGCAAGAAAGUCAAAAGGUAACUCACAGAAUGUCAGAAAAUAUGUGCAAAUGACAUAUCUAAUAAGGGACUGAAAUCCAAAAUGCAUAAAGAACUAUCACAACUCAGUUACAAAAAGACAACCCAAUUUUUAAAAUGAGCAAAAGAUUUGAAUGAUCAUUUCUUCAAGGAGAUAUACAAUUCAACAAUAAGUACUGAAAAGUUGCUCAAGUCAAUUAGUCAUUAGGUAGAUGCAAAUCUAUGCCACAAACAGCGCUUUCUACUUGCUAGGAUGACUACAAUGAAAAGACAGUAACAAGUCUUGGCAAAGAUGUGGAGAAAUUGGAUCAGCACAUUGCUGACGGGAUUGUAAAACAGGGCCAUGACUUUGGAAAACAGUUUAACAAUUCCUCCAAAUAUUAAACAUGUAGUUAUCUUUAUAACCCAGCAAUUGCACUUCAAUAUGUAUGUGCCCAAGAGAAAGGAAAACAUAUGUCUACACAAAAGCUUGUACAAGAAUGUUCAUAGCAGCAGUAUUCAUACUAGUCAAGAAAGUAUAAAGAAAUCAAAAUGUGGUAUAUCCAUACAUAGGAAGUUAUAUAGCAAUAAAAUGGAAUGAAGUGUUAAUAUUUGCUAUAACACAGACGAACUUGGAAAACAUUACACUAAAUAACUGAAGCUAGUGAUGAAAGGCCAGAUACUACAUGAUCUCAUUUAUAUAAAAUAUUCAGAAUAGGCAAAUCCAUAAAGACAGAAAGAAAGAUUAGUAUUUGCUAAGGGCUGGGAGUUGGAGUAGGGAGAAUGAUGAGUGAUUGCUAGUGUAUAUAGGUUUUUUUGGUGUAGUGGUAAUAAAAAUGUCCUCUAUUGGAUACUGGUAAUAAUUGCAUAACACUAAAUAUUCUAAAAAGCACUAAAUUGGUUUUCAGAGGGCAUAAAGGGGAGGCAGAAGCAGAGGAAGAGAGAGACAGAGAGAAUGAAGGAGAGGGAAGGGAUGGACCUUAAAAAAAUACAGAGAGAAAUGACAGGACAUCUAAAACUAAUGACAACUAGAAUGACAGCUGACUUCACAUCAGCAGGAAUAAAAAAAUCACCUAUGAAAAAAAUAUAUAUGUAUAUGUAUAUGAUAGAGAUGCUACUGUAAAAAAUAAAAUAGGGAAAGGAUGGAUUGUUUUUUAAAAAUUACUGUUCCAUUACCUAGCUAUAUACGUGAUUUGAAACUUAAAACUAGAUCCCUGCUCACAACAUAGAGAACGUUUAAAGACUAAAAUUUGAAAAGCAAAUUUUUAAAAUUUAAAAUUGUAACAUAUAUUAUAUAUAAUUAAAAUGUUAUUUUCCAUAUAAACUUUAUAUACAUUAUAUGUUGUGUGUGUGCAUAUAAAAUCAUGAAGCGA
rnacentral:lncRNA from 1 species